ACUAACUAAACACAAUGAUGACACACUCUGUCAGGACAUGUAUAGGAGGACUGCCAGGUAACUAGCUAGUUACUAACUAACUAACCACAAUGAUGACACACUCUGUCAGGACAUGUAUAGGAGGACUGCCCGGUAACUAGUUACUAACUAACUAACCACAAUGAUGACACACUCUGUCAGGACAUGUAUAGGAGGACUGCCCGGUAACUAGUUACUAACUAACUAACCACAAUGAUGACACACUCUGUCAGGACAUGUAUAGGAGGACUGCCAGGUAACUAGCUAGUUACUAACUAACUAACCACAAUGAUGACACACUCUGUCAGGACAUGUAUAGGAGGACUGCCAGGUAACUAGCUAGUUACUAACUAACUAAACACAAUGAUGACACACUCUGUCAGGACAUGUAUAGGAGGACUGCCAGGUAACUAGUUACUAACUAACUAACUAAACACAAUGAUGACACACUCUGUCAGGACAUGUAUAGGAGGACUGCCCGGUAACUAGAUAGUUACUAACUAACUAAACACAAUGAUGACACACUCUGUCAGGACAUGUAUAGGAGGACUGCCCGGUAACUAGAUAGUUACUAACUAACUAACCACAAUGAUGACACACUCUGUCAGGACAUGUAUAGGAGGACUGCCCGGUAACUAGAUAGUUACUAACUAACUAACCACAAUGAUGACACACUCUGUCAGGACAUGUAUAGGAGGACUGCCAGGUAACUAGAUAGUUACUAACUAACUAAACACAAUGAUGACACACUCUGUCAGGACAUGUAUAGGAGGACUGCCCGGUAACUACAUAGUUACUAACUAACUAACCACAAUGAUGACACACUCUGUCAGGACAUGUAUAGGAGGACUGCCAGGUAACUAGAUAGUUACUAACUAACUAACCACAAUGAUGACACACUCUGUCAGGACAUGUAUAGGAGGACUGCCAGGUAACUAGCUAGUUACUAACUAACUAACCACAAUGAUGACACACUCUGUCAGGACAUGUAUAGGAGGACUGCCAGGUAACUAGUUACUAACUAACUAACUAAACACAAUGAUGACACACUCUGUCAGGACAUGUAUAGGAGGACUGCCAGGUAACUAGAUAGUUACUAACUAACUAACCACAAUGAUGACACACUCUGUCAGGACAUGUAUAGGAGGACUGCCAGGUAACUAGCUAGUUACUAACUAACUAAACACAAUGAUGACACACUCUGUCAGGACAUGUAUAGGAGGACUGCCAGGUAACUAGUUACUAACUAACUAACUAAACACGAUGAUGACACACUCUGUCAGGACAUGUAUAGGAGGACUGCCAGGUAACUAGUUACUAACUAACUAACUAAACACGAUGAUGACACACUCUGUCAGGACAUGUAUAGGAGGACUGCCAAGUAACUAGCUAGUUACUAACUAACUAACCACAAUGAUGACACACUCUGUCAGGACAUGUAUAGGAGGACUGCCCGGUAACUAGCUAGUUACUAACUAACUAACCACAAUGAUGACACACUCUGUCAGGACAUGUAUAGGAGGACUGCCAGGUAACUAGCUAGUUACUAACUAACUAACCACAAUGAUGACACACUCUGUCAGGACAUGUAUAGGAGGACUGCCAGGUAACUAGCUAGUUACUAACUAACUAACCACAAUGAUGACACACUCUGUCAGGACAUGUAUAGGAGGACUGCCAGGUAACUAGUUACUAACUAACUAACUAAACACAAUGAUGACACACUCUGUCAGGACAUGUAUAGGAGGACUGCCAGGUAACUAGAUAGUUACUAACUAACUAACCACAAUGAUGACACACUCUGUCAGGACAUGUAUAGGAGGACUGCCAGGUAACUAGCUAGUUACUAACUAACUAAACACAAUGAUGACACACUCUGUCAGGACAUGUAUAGGAGGACUGCCAGGUAACUAGUUACUAACUAACUAACUAAACACGAUGAUGACACACUCUGUCAGGACAUGUAUAGGAGGACUGCCAGGUAACUAGUUACUAACUAACUAACCACAAUGAUGACACACUCUGUCAGGACAUGUAUAGGAGGACUGCCAGGUAACUAGCUAGUUACUAACUAACUAAACACGAUGAUGACACACUCUGUCAGGACAUGUAUAGGAGGACUGCCAGGUAACUAGCUAGUUACUAACUAACUAACCACAAUGAUGACACACUCUGUCAGGACAUGUAUAGGAGGACUGCCCGGUAACUAGCUAGUUACUAACUAACUAACCACAAUGAUGACACACUCUGUCAGGACAUGUAUAGGAGGACUGCCAGGUAACUAGCUAGUUACUAACUAACUAACUAAACACAAUGAUGACACACUCUGUCAGGACAUGUAUAGGAGGACUGCCAGGUAACUAGCUAGUUACUAACUAACUAACCACAAUGAUGACACACUCUGUCAGGACAUGUAUAGGAGGACUGCCAGGUAACUAGUUACUAACUAACUAACUAAACACAAUGAUGACACACUCUGUCAGGACAUGUAUAGGAGGACUGCCAGGUAACUAGAUAGUUACUAACUAACUAACCACAAUGAUGACACACUCUGUCAGGACAUGUAUAGGAGGACUGCCAGGUAACUAGCUAGUUACUAACUAACUAAACACAAUGAUGACACACUCUGUCAGGACAUGUAUAGGAGGACUGCCAGGUAACUAGCUAGUUACUAACUAACUAACCACAAUGAUGACACACUCUGUCAGGACAUGUAUAGGAGGACUGCCAGGUAACUAGCUAGUUACUAACUAACUAAACACAAUGAUGACACACUCUGUCAGGACAUGUAUAGGAGGACUGCCAGGUAACUAGCUAGUUACUAACUAACUAACCACAAUGAUGACACACUCUGUCAGGACAUGUAUAGGAGGACUGCCCGGUAACUAGUUACUAACUAACUAACCACAAUGAUGACACACUCUGUCAGGACAUGUAUAGGAGGACUGCCCGGUAACUAGUUACUAACUAACUAACCACAAUGAUGACACACUCUGUCAGGACAUGUAUAGGAGGACUGCCAGGUAACUAGUUACUAACUAACUAACUAAACACGAUGAUGACACACUCUGUCAGGACAUGUAUAGGAGGACUGCCAGGUAACUAGUUACUAACUAACUAACUAAACACGAUGAUGACACACUCUGUCAGGACAUGUAUAGGAGGACUGCCAAGUAACUAGCUAGUUACUAACUAACUAACCACAAUGAUGACACACUCUGUCAGGACAUGUAUAGGAGGACUGCCAGGUAACUAGCUAGUUACUAACUAACUAACCACAAUGAUGACACACUCUGUCAGGACAUGUAUAGGAGGACUGCCAGGUAACUAGCUAGUUACUAACUAACUAACCACAAUGAUGACACACUCUGUCAGGACAUGUAUAGGAGGACUGCCAGGUAACUAGCUAGUUACUAACUAACUAACCACAAUGAUGACACACUCUGUCAGGACAUGUAUAGGAGGACUGCCAGGUAACUAGUUACUAACUAACUAACUAACCACAAUGAUGACACACUCUGUCAGGACAUGUAUAGGAGGACUGCCAGGUAACUAGCUAGUUACUAACUAACUAACCACAAUGAUGACACACUCUGUCAGGACAUGUAUAGGAGGACUGCCAGGUAACUAGCUAGUUACUAACUAACUAAACACAAUGAUGACACACUCUGUCAGGACAUGUAUAGGAGGACUGCCAGGUAACUAGUUACUAACUAACUAACUAAACACGAUGAUGACACACUCUGUCAGGACAUGUAUAGGAGGACUGCCAGGUAACUAGUUACUAACUAACUAACCACAAUGAUGACACACUCUGUCAGGACAUGUAUAGGAGGACUGCCAGGUAACUAGCUAGUUACUAACUAACUAAACACGAUGAUGACACACUCUGUCAGGACAUGUAUAGGAGGACUGCCAGGUAACUAGCUAGUUACUAACUAACUAACCACAAUGAUGACACACUCUGUCAGGACAUGUAUAGGAGGACUGCCCGGUAACUAGCUAGUUACUAACUAACUAACCACAAUGAUGACACACUCUGUCAGGACAUGUAUAGGAGGACUGCCAGGUAACUAGCUAGUUACUAACUAACUAACUAAACACAAUGAUGACACACUCUGUCAGGACAUGUAUAGGAGGACUGCCAGGUAACUAGCUAGUUACUAACUAACUAACCACAAUGAUGACACACUCUGUCAGGACAUGUAUAGGAGGACUGCCAGGUAACUAGUUACUAACUAACUAACUAAACACAAUGAUGACACACUCUGUCAGGACAUGUAUAGGAGGACUGCCAGGUAACUAGAUAGUUACUAACUAACUAACCACAAUGAUGACACACUCUGUCAGGACAUGUAUAGGAGGACUGCCAGGUAACUAGCUAGUUACUAACUAACUAAACACAAUGAUGACACACUCUGUCAGGACAUGUAUAGGAGGACUGCCAGGUAACUAGCUAGUUACUAACUAACUAACCACAAUGAUGACACACUCUGUCAGGACAUGUAUAGGAGGACUGCCAGGUAACUAGCUAGUUACUAACUAACUAAACACAAUGAUGACACACUCUGUCAGGACAUGUAUAGGAGGACUGCCAGGUAACUAGUUACUAACUAACUAACCACAAUGAUGACACACUCUGUCAGGACAUGUAUAGGAGGACUGCCAGGUAACUAACUAGUUACUAACUAACUAAACACAAUGAUGACACACUCUGUCAGGACAUGUAUAGGAGGACUGCCAGGUAACUAGCUAGUUACUAACUAACUAACCACAAUGAUGACACACUCUGUCAGGACAUGUAUAGGAGGACUGCCAGGUAACUAACUAGUUACUAACUAACUAAACACAAUGAUGACACACUCUGUCAGGACAUGUAUAGGAGGACUGCCCGGUAACUAGCUAGUUACUAACUAACUAAACACAAUGAUGACACACUCUGUCAGGACAUGUAUAGGAGGACUGCCAGGUAACUAGCUAGUUACUAACUAACUAACUAAACACAAUGAUGACACACUCUGUCAGGACAUGUAUAGGAGGAAUGCCAGGUAACUAGCUAGUUACUAACUAACUAAACACAAUGAUGACACACUCUGUCAGGACAUGUAUAGGAGGACUGCCAGGUAACUAGCUAGUUACUAACUAA